ensembl:lncRNA
UUUGAAGAUACCAAGUUCCCAACGUCAGUUUAUCGAAAGAAAGCCUUCAGCCCUAACCACCAUCUGGCCGUUUCAUGAGAGCUGAGGGGCUCCUUUCUUGGGACGACCGUGAGUACAGAUGGACUCGCACGAGGCUGACCUACUCAGCAUUUAGCUAUUUCCCCAACAACCCUGAAUGUUCAUUGCAAGGACUGAAGCUGAAGCUCCAAUACUUUGGCCACCUGAUGCAAAGAACUGACUCAUUUGAAAAGACCCUGAUGCUGGGAAAGACUGAAGGCGGAGGAGAAGGGGACAACAGAGGAUGAGAUGGUUGGAUGGCAUCACCGGCUCAAUGGACAUGAGUUUGAGCAAGCUCUGGGAGACGGUGGUGGACAGGGAAGCCUGGUGCGCUACAGCCCAUGGGGUCACAGAGAGCCGGACACAAAUGAGCAGCUGAACAGCAGCAGCAGAGAAAGGGCAUCUCUUCAUCUCCAGGCUACGGCUCCCUUCCUGAUGGUCUCCAUGUAAACAAUUCUUGUGCCCUGACUUUUAACCCGUGUCAUUAAAGACGUUUAGUUAAAAAGGAGGCUUCAUAGACUUACCCCACCUAGAUGUGCCCAUGAGCACUGGUUAAUUCUGCCCCGUGG